UACGUAGGGACCGAGCGUUGUCCGGAUUCAUUGGGCGUAAAGAGCUCGUAGGCGGUCUGUCGCGUCGGCUGUGAAAACCCGAGGCUCAACCUCGGGCCUGCAGUCGAUACGGGCAAACUAGAGUACUGCAGGGGAGACUGGAAUUCCUGGUGUAGCGGUGAAAUGCGCAGAUAUCAGGAGGAACACCGGUGGCGAAGGCGGGUCUCUGGGCAGUAACUGACGCUGGAGGAGCGAAA
rnacentral:rRNA from 1 species